rnacentral:rRNA from 1 species
CCCUUAGAUGUUCUGGGCCGCACGCGUGCUACACUGAGUGGAUCAGCGGGUCAGGUUGCGCGAAAGUGUUUCCUAAUCUUGAAAUCCGCUCGUGAUGGGGAUUGACGGUUGCAAUUUUCCGUCAUGAACGAGGAAUACCUUGUAAGCGCGGGUCAUCAUCCCGCGCGGAAUACGUCCCUGCCCUUUGUACACACCGCCCGUCGCUCCUACCGAUUGAGUGGUCCGGUGAGGCUUUGGGAUCUGAGCGGAAAGAGCGUUUCGCUGUUUCUGCUCGGAAAACUCAGUCGAACCUUAUCAUUUAGAGGAAGGAGAAGUCGUAACA